rnacentral:rRNA from 1 species
UACGUAAGGCCCGAGCGUUGUCCGGAAUCAUUGGGCGUAAAGGGUACGUAGGCGGGUAUUUAAGUUAGAAGUCAAAGGCUAUAGCUCAACUAUAGUAAGCUUCUAAAACUGAAUAGCUUGAGUGAUGGAAGGGAAAGUGGAAUUCCUAGUGUAGCGGUGGAAUGCGCAGAUAUUAGGAAGAAUACCGGUGGCGAAGGCGACUUGCUGGACUUCAACUGACGCUGAGGAACGAAAGCGUGGGUAGCAAACAGG